rnacentral:rRNA from 1 species
UACGAAGGGGGCUAGCGUUGCUCGGAAUCACUGGGCGUAAAGCGCACGUAGGCGGAUUGCUAAGUCAGGGGUGAAAUCCUGGAGCUCAACUCCAGAACUGCCCUUGAUACUGGCGGUCUCGAGUCCGGGAGAGGUGAGUGGAACUGCGAGUGUAGAGGUGAAAAUUCGUAGAUAUUCGCAAGAACACCAGUGGCGAAGGCGGCUCACUGGCCCGGUACUGACGCUGAGGUGCGAAAAGCGUGGGGAGCAAACAGG